UUCCUGAGGUUAGCGGCGGACGGGUGAGUAACACGUAGGCAACCUGCCUGUACGACCGGGAUAACUCCGGGAAACCGGAGCUAAUACCGGAUAGGAUGCCGAACCGCAUGGUUCGGCAUGGAAAGGCCUUUGAGCCGCGUACAGAUGGGCCUGCGGCGCAUUAGCUAGUUGGUGGGGUAACGGCCUACCAAGGCGACGAUGCGUAGCCGACCUGAGAGGGUGAACGGCCACACUGGGACUGAGACACGGCCCAGACUCCUACGGGAGGCAGCAGUAGGGAAUCUUCCGCAAUGGACGAAAGUCUGACGGAGCAACGCCGCGUGAGUGAGGAAGGUCUUCGGAUCGUAAAACUCUGUUGUCAGGGAAGAACCGCCGGGAUGACCUCCCGGUCUGACGGUACCUGACGAGAAAGCCCCGGCUAACUACGUGCCAGCAGCCGCGGUAAUACGUAGGGGGCAAGCGUUGUCCGGAAUUAUUGGGCGUAAAGCGCGCGCAGGCGGCUUCUUAAGUCAGGUGUGAAAGCCCACGGCUCAACCGUGGAGGGCCAUCUGAAACUGGGGAGCUUGAGUGCAGAAGGAGAGCGGAAUUCCACGUGUACGGUGAAAUGCGUAAGAUGUGGAGGAACACCAGUGGCGAAGGCGGCUCUCUGGCCUGUAACUGACGUGAGGCGCGAAAGCGUGGGGAGCAAACAGGAUUAAUACCCUGGUAGUCACCCGUAAACGAUGAGUGCUAGGUGUUGGGGAGUCCACCUCCUCAGUGCGCAUAACGCAAUAACACUCCCCUGGGAGUACGCCGCAAGGCUGAAACUCAAAGGAAUUGACGGGGACCCGCACAAGCGGUGGAGCAUGUGGUUUAAUUUAAGCAACGCGAAAACCUUACCAGGGCUUGACAUCCCGCUGACCCCUCCAGAGAUGGAGGUUUCCUUCGGGACAGCGGUGACAGGUGGUGCAUGGUUGUCGUCAGCUCGUGUCGUGAGAUGUUGGGUUAAGUCCCGCAACGAGCGCAACCCUUGUCCUUUGUUGCCAGCAUUCAGUUGGGCACUCUAAGGAGACUGCCGUCGACAAGACGGAGGAAGGUGGGGAUGACGUCAAAUCAUCAUGCCCCUUAUGUCCUGGGCUACACACGUGCUACAAUGGACGGUACAACGGGCGUGCCAACCCGCGAGGGUGAGCCAAUCCCUAAAAACCGUUCUCAGUUCGGAUUGCAGGCUGCAACUCGC
rnacentral:rRNA from 2 species